AUUGAACGCUGGCGGCAGGCCUAACACAUGCAAGUCGAACGAGUGGCGGACGGGUGAGUAAUGUCUGGGAAACUGCCCGAUGGAGGGGGAUAACUACUGGAAACGGUAGCUAAUACCGCAUACUAUCGGAUGUGCCCAUAUGGGAUUAGCUAGUAGGUGGGGUAACGGCUCACCUAGGCGACGAUCCCUAGCUGGUCUGAGAGUAUGACCAGCCGCACUGGGACUGAGACACAGUCCAAACUCCUGCGGGAGGCCGCAGUGGGGAAUAAUGCACAAUGGGCACAAGCCUGAUGCAGCCAUGCCGCGUGUAUGAAGAAGGCCUUCGGGUUGUAAAGGACUUUCAGCGUGGAGGCGUUACCCGCAGAAGAAGCACCGGCUAACUCCGUGCCAGCAGCCGCGGUAAUAC
rnacentral:rRNA from 1 species